AGAGUUUGAUCAUGGCUCAGAGCGAACGUUAGCGGCAGGCUUAACACAUGCAAGUCGAGCGAGAACGGGGCUUCGGCUCCUAGUAAAGCGGCGGACGGGUGCGUAACACGUGGAUAAUCUGCCUUUUAGUGGGGAAUAACACUCCGAAAGGAGUGCUAAUGCCGCAUAAGCCGGCUGAAUCUCCGGAUUCGGUCGAGAAAGGGGGCGCCCGCAAGGGGCUCCCGCUAGAAGAUGAGUCCGCGUCCCAUCAGCUAGUUGGCGGGGUAAUGGCCCACCAAGGCUUUGACGGGUAGCUGGUCUGAGAGGAUGAUCAGCCACACUGGGACUGAGACACGGCCCAGACUCCUACGGGAGGCAGCAGUGGGGAAUAUUGGGCAAUGGGCGCAAGCCUGACCCAGCCAUGCCGCGUGAGUGAUGAAGGCCUUCGGGUCGUAAAGCUCUGUGGGAAGGGACGAACCGCUGCAUGCUAAUACCAUGCAGUCUGACGGUACCUUCUUAGCAAGCACCGGCUAACUCCGUGCCAGCAGCCGCGGUA
rnacentral:rRNA from 1 species